CUUAGUAUUAGUAAUUAAAAGAGAUUGAAAUCUUCCAUCUGCCCCUACUCGCUAUACCAAGAGUAGGGGCAUGUCUACUAGACAGUGAGCAGCCAGUGACUGCUCACUGUUGCAAUAAAACCCGCCAUAAUUUAAUAAAGUACCCCUUAGUGGGGCACCUAUAAAAAUAUUUAAUGGGGGGACAACUAGUCGUGCACGAGUGGGGGUCACUAAACUAAACGGAGGACCUAGUGUCCCCCCUCGGCCUCCACCCAUGAGCAUCAGGUGGGGGCUAUAAGAUACAAUGGAGGCACCUACUACCUCCCCCCGGCCCCACCCAUGAGCCGUGUGGGUGGGGGCCUUGUGAUAAACCUAUUGUCCCAACCAAUCGCUCAUGCAAGUAACCAAUCAGACAAGGCUCAAGAUUUUCCUAUCAGAGCACUCUUAUUGGUUAGCUUAAAGGAUCACUAUAGGGUCAGGAACACAAACAUGUAUUCCUGACCCUAUAUUGUUAACACCACCAUCUAGCCCCCUGGGCCCCUCAUGCCACCAUAAAUAUAGCAAAAUAUUACUGUAUUCAAGCCUGAAGCUAUAGAUCUGCAUGCUGUUUGCCUAAAAAAAAAAAAAAAAAGCAGUCUGCUGACAUCAUAUGAAGUAGUAGCCUGAUCUAAUCACAAUGCUUCCCCAUAGGAUUGGCUGAGACUGACAAAGAGGCAGAUCAGGAGCAGAGCCAGCAUGAUUCAAACACAGCCCUGGCCAAUCAGCAUCUCUUCAUAGAGAUGAAUUGAAUCAAUGAAUUUCUAUGAGGAAAGUUCAGUGUCUGCAUGCAGUGGGGG